UUCUAUUUUGCAUGACUUUAAUAUAGUAUAUUACUUAUUAAUAUAGGGUGAGAACAUAUGCAAAUUGUUAGCAAAUAGCCUAAAUCAUCAUGCGUUGCUAUCGGUCGGGUGUUAAAUUUGCCGAAAAACAUGCUACAUAAUAUGCCACUUCCUACAUCCUAUGUAUAGGUUACUAUUGAUGUGCCAAAUGUAACAUCCAAGAAAAUUUAACAUUGGUUUAUUAACCUAAUGAGGGUAAUUAGUGAGUUAAUGAGGUGUGUUGCUAGAGGGGCCUAACGUGGCAUAAUUGCUGUAAUUUCAACCCUAAAAGUAGGUUUGGAUCAAUGGCGGGCCACCUAGGUAAGAAAAAAGGAAGAAAAAGGAAAGAAUUGUCCUCUGUGUCAUAUGCCGCAGUACGUGGAUAGUUCACUAUGGCACACAGGGACAAUUUGGAAUAAUGGGUUCCUCUAUGCCAUGUGCCGUGGUGGAGAGCAGCACGUGCCGCAGUGCAUGACUAAAAUUCUAAUAUAUUAGUUAUGUUCUGCAUACAAAAAACAGAAGGAGAGGAGGAGAGGAAAGCGAAGAUCUCAACUUAGGCUUUGCUAGGGCACGGCAUUGGCUUCCAUUGUUGGCAUUUUGAAGCUCCCAAACAUCCAAGUACCAAAUGUGGGUCUAAAGGAGAAUCGGGUCACCCAGGGAUAGAAGAGGAAGAAUUUCUGAAGGGAGUGAUUCUGUGCCACACGCCAUGGUGUGGGGUUAGUCCGUCGCAGCGUAUGGGUGACAACACGCCUGGAAGAAGCUCUCUGUGCCAUGCGCCACGAAGCAUUGUGUGUCCGUCGUGGUGCAUGGCUAAAAUUUUGUAGUAUUAAGUCACAAAUUUAAAGUGAAAAAAGAAAGGGAAACAAAAGAGAACGAGAGAGUGGCGGAAAAGCUGAGUUAGGGCUUGAAGAAACUGACUAUUGAGAGUAAUUUAGAGCUUAUAAACACCUAAGGGAAUAGCUCAAGAAAUGGAGACAGAGAAAAACAACUCGAAGCUUAGGAUCACGAUCCAUUUGUAAUAGGCCUCUUUAUUUUAGGUAUUUAUGUGUAUGAAAAUUUUGUUUGCCAACUAGGAUUUCCCUUUUUGUUACUUACUUGCAUUAAGUGAAAUGUAAAUUGUAAUGGUAUUUUGGGCCCUAGGGAGGGAGUUGAUUAUUAUGUGUUAUGAUGGUAGGGCCAAAAUACUAUUGCAAGUAAGGGUAGUGAAUAUUAAGUAAUGAUUUGGGAAAUUUUGAUGAAAAUUAUGGUAAACUCUCCCUUCCUAUG